GUCUUCUUGGCUAAUGUCAAUAAUAUGGAACUACACAAGAUGGACCUGAGAAACUGCAUUUUACCAUCAGCAUUCAUAGAAAAACCUCUCCGUCAUCUCCACGACUUGAUGCUCUCCAAUUUCCAAUAUUGUCUCCAAGUAUUGUUUUUCUUCAAUUUCCUUUGAAAUUUCUUGGGCAUGAUAUUCUUCAUUUCCUAGGACACACUCCUUAAACUCUUCAUCUUCAACCAUAGC
rnacentral:misc_RNA from 1 species